rnacentral:rRNA from 1 species
CGGACGGGUGAGUAAUGUCUGGGAAACUGCCCGAUGGAGGGGGAUAACUACUGGAAACGGUAGCUAAUACCGCAUAACGUCGCAAGACCAAAGAGGGGGACCUUCGGGCCUCUUGCCAUCGGAUGUGCCCAGAUGGGAUUAGCUAGUAGGUGGGGUAACGGCUCACCUAGGCGACGAUCCCUAGCUGGUCUGAGAAGAUGCCAGCCACACUGGAACUGAGACACGGUCCAG